ensembl:lincRNA
GAUUCUUCUUGCUUUUGUCCUCUGUAUUUCCUACUCACUUCACAGACAAUGAGGAGAACAUUAUAAUUCUUGUUUUCUUGCAGGUAAUUCAGUUCCAACCCCUUCAGUGACAGCAGAGAGACCCAGGCCACCUUCCUUGAGGAUUUCGGAGCUGCAGCCCACAGCCAGGGCCAGAGUGGACUCAGCUCUCCAACCCACGGUACAAAACGGUCACGAAAGUGAAAUCAUGAGACUAUUACUGAUGUAAAUGGCAGAUGCACCUCAAGAAGGAGAUACUUAAGAAGCUCUCAGAGACAGAUUACGCCACUUCUGGAUCUACUGAAGUCUUGAGUCAUGCCUGAGAAACACAGGCAAGUGAUUGGCUUUCCUGCCACCAGCUCUGAUGGCUUGGUAAAGAUACU